GUGCUCGCUUCGGCAGCACAUAUACUAAAAUUGGAACGAUACAGAGAAGUUUAGCACAAGGAUGACACGCAAAUUCGUGAAGCGUUUCAUAUUAAA
rnacentral:snRNA from 1 species